GCUCCCUCCGUAUCAAUCCAACGGCCCACGUCGCUCCCACCUCCCUCACCCCACCGCGCCCUCUCUUCGCCGUCUGACCCGUCAGCCACCAUGCGCCGUCUCCGCCCCCCACGAAGCUUGCGGCUCGGGUCCGUCUCGCCACCGCCGCCAUCGUUCCGCUGCUCAGGGCCGGGCCGACGCACCGCUGUCCCGUGCCGCCACCACCGUAUUCGUCGCUCGGGUCUUUCUCCGCCGUCUCCACCCGCUCGGGACCGCCGCGAAUCGUCGCCCACCUCGCCGUCCCCUAUCUCCACCGCAAGAACACCGUCGGCAGCCUCGGCGGUCUACUCUGCGCCGGUCUCCUCCGCGUCAUCUCCUCGCUCGUGCCGCCUCUGCCAUCCCCUCCGUUCAGCACCCCCCCUCCUCCCCCCGUCUUCCCUUCCGUCCUUCCGUCCAUCCAGCGCGCUGGCGAUCCUCCACCCAGGGCCUGGCGUCCCAUCGAUGAUUUAGGGCGUCGCGGGUCCUCCGUUCAGGGCACCACCGGCCAUCCGUCCAGUGCACGGUCUCCCCAAUCCAGCAUACAGGUGCUACUUCCCCUCAGCGCCAGGAAAUAUUGGAUCAAUUGCAAGGACAUGUGUGCAGCGUGAGCAGUUGGUGUGCAUCUUAUCGGGGUUAAGUGCAAAUGGACACCAUCAAAUUGCCAAUUUGCCAUGAUCUUGGUGCGUGUAUGGAAUCAAGUAGAAUGGUAGUCUCCUGCAAUUGCUCCACGAUGACUGAAUCCACGCGGAAGGCUGUCCAUUUUUGGCAGUUCAGACUUAGAGAGAGGUUAGCAUUGGCCUAUUCUUUGGAUAGGUUUAGGUCAUUUAUGUGUUGAGUAAAAUUUGGCUAAGAAGCUACGGCAUAUCUGUUUUACGAAUGGAAAAAAUGUAGCUAUUUUUUCAUGUGUCCUUGUUGCUUGAUUGGUCAGGCAAGUUGCCAAGUUAUUGCUCCGUAUUGCAAAUUCAUCUUGGUACCAUAUUAACUUUGACAAUCUGCUUUUUUUGGUGUAUCAAUAAAUCAAGUAAAUAAUGAUGCAAUGAACUCUUCUGAUGGACAAGCAACAGAAAAUUUACUUGAUAACUAUAUUGUUUGGACGUAUGUUCUGGCCAAUAAUCUUGAUUCCUUCUUAUAUCAGUCCAUCCUUAUCCUUGACGCCUUAUCAGUACACUGUAAUGCUCAUACUGAUUGUGCUGGCUGAGACCUAGGCGGGGGCCAAGGCCUUCAUUUAGGUCAGUACACACCGCCUCAGGAGGUUUAUUCCUUGUCCGGUACAUAUGGUUGGGAUGUUGGAUCCAUUUCAUUUAUUUCUGCAGGAUGAGAUUGUGAACAAUGGAUUAUCUGUUAUUAGGCUUGGGAUGCUGGUCUGAUGCAAAUUACUGUAGAUUAUUCAAGUCAAAGUUACUAUAGUUUUUUUUUACUGUUGGAGUUCUGUUUCAGUGCCAAAUAUUCGCUGAGCAUGAUGUUGUGUUGCAGUGGUGCCCUAAUUGCGAUUUCAAUGGGAUGUUCUAGACAGAUGUGUGGAGUGGGGUGGAGGAGAAGCGUAGUCGAUGAUGGUGAAACACAGCGUGUUUGAGGAACAAGGUGAUCGACUUGAAGGGCGUUGCCAGCAACCAGGCUGCUUCUUUGAACACCUUGGUUAGGUUCAUCGGGAUAUUGGCAGAACCGCCGUUGCUGGUGGCCACGACUGCAACAAUGGUAGCAGGGUGUUCUUGAUCUGGUCAGACGCUAGCUUCCGGAACCACACGAUUGAGCACGUAUUGUCGAGGGUGGCAGCGAUGAGGUUGACAUUUGUAGGGGAGGUGGAGCUGGCACCAGAACCUACCUUAGGAGCACUCCUCCCGAUGCUAGUGGCUGUCGCCCUUCCACUCCUCCUGUAGUCGCCAAGCUGUCGCAUCCGGUUCUACGCCACCUUCAUCCGCAUGUCCUCCUUCCUCAUCUCCGGCAAGUCAACAAUAAUCUCGUGCGCGUAGCUAGCCAGCAUCGUCGGUCUGAUUCGAGAGUUACAUUUUGUUUUGAUUCAAUGUUCUGAUUUGAGUGUUUCAUUUUGUUUUGUUUUCAUGUUUCAUCCAUUGAUUUCUUGGUGUUGCAAUUAGUAUGGAUGUUGUAUCUGACUGAAAUACUUUCGAUCAAGCGAUGAAAUAUUUUUUCCUACUUGAUGAAACAUCUGAAAUUUUUUUGUUGAAACA